rnacentral:rRNA from 1 species
GCUUGCUUCUGAUAGGCGUUCGACCGGCGCACGGGUGAGUAACGCGUAUCCAACCUGCCCAUCACUUGGGGAUAACCUUGCGAAAGUAAGACUAAUACCCAAUGACGUCUCUAGAAGACAUCUGAAAGAGAUUAAAGAUUUAUCGGUGAUGGAUGGGGAUGCGUCUGAUUAGCUUGUUGGCGGGGUAACGGCCCACCAAGGCGACGAUCAGUAGGGGUUCUGAGAGGAAGGUCCCCCACAUUGGAACUGAGACACGGUCCAAACUCCUACGGGAGGCAGCAGUGAGGAAUAUUGGUCAAUGGUCGGCAGACUGAACCAGCCAAGUCGCGUGAGGGAUGAAGGUUCUAUGGAUCGUAAACCUCUUUUAUAAGGGAAUAAAGUGUGGGACGUGUCCUGUUUGUAUGUACCUUAUGAAUAAGGAUCGGCUAACUCCGUG